AGUGAACGCUGGCGGCAUGCCUAACACAUGCAAGUCGAACGGCAGCACAGUAAGAGCUUGCGCUUACGGGUGGCGAGUGGCGGACGGGUGAGGAAUACAUCGGAAUCUACUUUUCCGUGUGGGAUAACGUAGGGAAACUUACGCGAAUACCGCAGACGAUCUACGGUUGAAAGCAGUGGAGCUUGGUACCUUGCGCGAUUGAAUGAGUCGUAGGCGGAUUAGCUAGUUGGCGGGGUAAAGGCCCACCAAGGCGACGAUCCCUAGCUGAAUCGAGUGGGUGAACCGGCCAAGUGGGACUGAGACACGGCACAAGCUCCUACGGGAGGCCGCGGUUGGGAAUAUUCGACAAUGGGGGGAAGACUGAACCAGCAACGCCGGGUGGGGGAAGAAGGGCUGCGGGGUGGAAAACCCUUUUUUUGGGGAAAAAAAAGCGGGAGAGUAACGCCCCGCUUUUCGACGGUACCCAAACAAAAAGCCACGGCUAACUACGUG
rnacentral:rRNA from 1 species